AUGGGCUAAAGCCUGAUGCAGCAACGCCGCGUGAGUGAUGAAGGCCUUCGGGUUGUAAAGCUCUGUCUUUGGGGACGAUAAUGACGGUACCCAAGGAGGAAGCCACGGCUAACUACGUGCCAGCAGCCGCGGUAAUAUUUUU
rnacentral:rRNA from 1 species